rnacentral:tRNA from 1 species
ACCGCGACAGGUCAGCUGGUAGGGCAUCCGCCCGGAGUGCGGAGGGUAGCCGGCUCAAUCCCGGCCCGCGGAG